GAUGAACGCUGGCGGCGUGCCUAAUACAUGCAAGUAGAACGCUGAAGGAGGAGCUUGCUCUUCUGGAUGAGUUGCGAACGGGUGAGUAACGCGUAGGUAAACUGCCUGGUAGCGGGGGAUAACUAUUGGAAACGAUAGCUAAUACCGCAUGACAACAGUUAUUGCAUGAUAACUGUUUAAAAGGGGCAACUGCUCCACUACCAGAUGGACCUGCGUUGUAUUAGCUAGUUGGUGAGGUAACGGCUCACCAAGGCGACGAUACAUAGCCGACCUGAGAGGGUGAUCGGCCACACUGGGACUGAGACACGGCCCAGACUCCUACGGGAGGCAGCAGUAGGGAAUCUUCGGCAAUGGACGGAAGUCUGACCGAGCAACGCCGCGUGAGUGAAGAAGGUUUUCGGAUCGUAAAGCUCUGUUGUAAGAGAAGAACGAGUGUGAGAGUGGAAAGUUCACACUGUGACGGUAUCUUACCAGAAAGGGACGGCUAACUACGUG
rnacentral:rRNA from 1 species